GACCCUCCUGAUUACAAAAAUGCCAAGGAGUCUUUUGGUGUCAUUGUGGAUUGUGCUCAGCAGUCUUCCAUGAAGCCCUGCAAUGAAACCUCACUGCAGUGGUGAUCUAGCCUGGUGUUCUGUCUACCUAGAGCAGCACUCCCCUUCUGGGAAAUGCUUUUUUCUCCACUCCAACCAUGCAUUUGAAGGAUGCCUGCUAUGUUCUUCUGGAACUCUGUUGCACACAGUGACUGGUAAAGACAUGGGCACCUGAUCCAAGCUGUGUCAAUUAAAAUCCUUCCAGGGACUUUGAAUACAUGGGCAUAGAAAGAGUGAAUAGAAAGUCCUCUCUGGAAGCAACUCUGGGGCAGGGGGGUAUGAGUACAGAACUGGCCAGCUACCAUGCAUCAGCGGUGUGGGAGAAGACUGAGAGAAUGAAACUGACACUCAUGCAGAG
rnacentral:lncRNA from 10 species